AAGGUCUCCUCACUCUCCUUAGCCACCAUCCAGCUUGGCCAAGAGGCCUCCCCAUGAUUCCUCCCACGCCAGGGCCUCGCCUUUGUUUUUCACUGUUAGGGGCUGGCGAGUCACUGACCCGCCCCCCUCCCUGCUGCCCAAACCACUUCUGUUUCCUGAAGGCGCCUUGGGAAUGCUGAGUCGCGAUUUCCUCAUCCCCUCGUGCAGCUGCAUUUCUGCUGCGUCAUGUUUGGGAGGGGGGACUCGCGGAAACAAAGGGAAGGCGGAUUUUGCUAGAUUUUGCUGAGUCACCAGUGCCUCCUCAGCUUCUCUUUAGGUGGGAGGUGAAAGGGCAGCUUUAAUGGUAGGCAGGAGGAAGUGAAACUUCUAGAAAACGGCAGAAGCCUC
rnacentral:sRNA from 1 species